ACGUCGGCAACGAUGAAACUCAAAGGAAUUGACGGGGGCCCGCACAAGCGGAGGAACAUGUGGUUUAAUUCGAUGAUACGCGAGGAACCUUACCUGGGUUUAAAUGUAUAGUGCAUGAGGUGGAAACACUUCUUCCCUUCGGGGCUUUAUACAAGGUGCUGCAUGGUUGUCGUCAGCUCGUGCCGUGAGGUGUCGGGUUAAGUCCCAUAACGAGCGCAACCCUUAUCUUUAGUUACCAUCACGCGAGGUGGGCACUCUAAAGAGACUGCCACCGUAAGGUGAGAGGAAGGGGGGGAUGACGUCAAAUCAGCACGGCCCUUACAUCCAGGGCUACACACGUGUUACAAUGGCCAUUACAGCGGGUAGCUACUUGGCGACAAGAUGCUAAUCUCUAAAUUUGGUCACAGUUCGGAUUGGAGUCUGUAACCCGACUCCAUGAAGUUGGAUUCGCUAGUAAUCGCGCAUCAGCCAUGGCGCGGU
rnacentral:rRNA from 1 species